rnacentral:rRNA from 4 species
UGAGGGGGGCUGCUCCUAGUACGAGAGGACCGGAGUGGACGCAUCACUGGUGUUCGGGUUGUCAUGCCAAUGGCACUGCCCGGUAGCUAAAUGCGGAAGAGAUAAGUGCUGAAAGCAUCUAAGCACGAAACUUGCCCCGAGAUGAGUUCUCCCUGACUCCUUGAGAGUCCUGAAGGAACGUUGAAGACGACGACGUUGAUAGGCCGGGUGUGUAAGCGCAGCGAUGCGUUGAGCUAACCGGUACUAAUGAACCGUGAGGCUUAACCUUACAACGCCGAAGGUGUUU